rnacentral:rRNA from 1 species
CCUACGGGAGGCAGCAGUGGGGAAUUUUGGACAAUGGGCGCAAGCCUGAUCCAGCCAUGCCGCGUGCAGGAUGAAGGCCUUCGGGUUGUAAACUGCUUUUGUACGGAACGAAAAGACUCCUUCUAAUACAGGGGGUCCAUGACGGUACCGUAAGAAUAAGCACCGGCUAACUACGUGCCAGCAGCCGCGGUAAUACGUAGGGUGCAAGCGUUAAUCGGAAUUACUGGGCGUAAAGCGUGCGCAGGCGGUUAUAUAAGACAGAUGUGAAAUCCCCGGGCUCAACCUGGGAACUGCAUUUGUGACUGUAUAGCUAGAGUACGGCAGAGGGGGAUGGAAUUCCGCGUGUAGCAGUGAAAUGCGUAGAUAUGCGGAGGAACACCGAUGGCGAAGGCAAUCCCCUGGGCCUGUACUGACGCUCAUGCACGAAAGCGUGGGGAGCAAACAGGAUUAGAUACCCUGGUAG